UACACACCACAAAGAAAAGUUACUGAGAAUUCUUCUGUCUAGCAUUAUAUGAAAAAUCCCGUUUCCAACGAAGGCCUCAAAGAGGUCCAAAUAUCCACUUGCAGAUUCUGCAAAAAGAGUGUUUCCAAACUGCUCUAUGAAAAGUAAGGUUAAACUCUGUGAGUUGAAUGCACACAUCACAAAGUAGUUUCUGAGAAUGAUUCUGUCUAGUUUUUAUACGAAGAUAUUUCCUUUUCUACCAUUGGCCUCAAAGCGCUUGAAAUCUCCACCUGAAAAUUCCACAAAAAGAGAGUUUCAAAUCUGCUGUGUCUAAAGGAAGGUUCAACCCUGAG
rnacentral:lncRNA from 1 species